UGUGAAUGGACUCCAAGUGUCUAUCAAGAGCAGUAGAGAUAUUGGCAUGAAGGGGAGAGCUUCGAAGACGUUCCAUUUUGCCUAAUAAAGUCACAACCUGAGGGAAACAUUUUAAAUUUUGAUAAGGCAGUUAUAUAUUCUAGUUGUAGGUCUUUCUGGCUCUGCUAUGUGGGACGCCGCCUCAGCAUGGCCUGAUGAAUGGUGUCAAGUCCUCGCCCAGGAUCCGAACCGGCGAAACCAUGGAUCGCUGAAGCAGAAUUUGCAAACUUAACCACUCGGCCACAGGGUGGCCCCGAAAAAGGAAUUUUAACUUGGAACAGUUUUAAGAAAAAAUAACAAAAGACUGGAGUUUUUAUUAACAUAACAUCUGGCUGUAAACCACGUCAGUAUCUGACUAUACCACUGAUAAAUUCCAUUGUACAAAUUUACAAAUUUGAUAAAAGAAUUUCAAUUGACCAAGGCUGAAAGCUAGGGAAAAUCAAUCUUUUCCUGCUGAAGUAGUUCAUAUCUAUAUUUUAAAGAAGCAUGGUACAAGAAAGAAACUAAUAAUCAAUAAAAUAGACUGUUGUGUUGAUUUUUCUAAUUC